rnacentral:snRNA from 1 species
AUUUGAAGCUAGAGGUGU